UGGGAUUGCAGGCUAGAUGAGCCCAAGUC
rnacentral:piRNA from 1 species